UCUUAGGGCCUGAUCCAAAGCCCACUGAAGUCAAUGGCAAGACUCCCAUUGAUUUCAGUGGGAUUUGGAUUGGGCCCUCAGUGA
rnacentral:pre_miRNA from 1 species